rnacentral:misc_RNA from 1 species
GAUGAAGAACGCAGCGAAAUGCGAUACUUGGUGUGAAUUGCAGAAUCCCGUGAACCAUCGAGUCUUUGAACGCAAGUUGCGCCCGAAGCCAUUAGGCCGAGGGCACGCCUGCCUGGGCGUCACACGUCGUUGCCCCCCCAUCUACUCCUUCGGGAUUGCGGGGGGCGGAUGAUGGCCUCCCGUGCGCCUCGUCGCGCGGUUGGCCUAAAUGCCAAGUCCUCGGCGACGCACGCCACGACAAUCGGUGGUUGCGAAACCUCGGUUGCCUGUCGUGUGCGGUCGUCGCGCAUCGAGGGCUCGAAAAAAUUGCCGGGCUUCGGCUCGACUUUCAACGCGACCCCAGGUCAGGCGGGGUUACCCGCUGAAUUUAAGCAUAUCAAUAGCGGAGGA